rnacentral:rRNA from 1 species
GAUGAACGCUGGCGGCGUGCUUAACACAUGCAAGUCGAACGGGAUCCAAGGGGUGCUUGCACUUUUUGGUGAGAGUGGCGAACGGGUGAGUAACACGUGAGUAACCUGUCCUUUUCUUUGGGAUAGCAUUCGAAAGGGUGUUUAAUACCUUAUGUUCUGUCUGCCUCGCAUGGGGUGGGUGGGAAAGGCUUUGGCCGGAUUUGGGUGGGCUCGCGGUCUAUCAGCUUGUUGGUGGGGUGAUGGCUUACCAAGGCUUUGACGGGUAGCCGGCCUGAGAGGGGGGUCGGUCACAUUGGGACUGAGAUACGGCCCAGACUCCUGCGGGAGGCAGCAGUGGGGGAUAUUGCACAAUGGGCGAAAGCCUGAUGCAGCGACGCCGCGUGGGGGAUGAAGGCCUUCGGGUUGUAAACUUCUUUUGCUCUGAACAAGGCAUGCCAGUGGGUGUGUUGAGUGUAGGGGUUGAUUAGCGCCGGCUAACUACGUG